rnacentral:sRNA from 1 species
GGGGUGGGUUAACAGGGAUAUCGUCUCAGGAUAAGUUAGAAUCAAUGACCCCUUUGUGUAGGGGAGUUCAUACUUUUGGUAAGUCAAUAAUCAUAGACGAUUCUAGAAUAUAUAUUCAAGGUUUGUAAUUUGUGGG